rnacentral:sRNA from 1 species
CAAACUCUCAUUUGUGAAAGCGGACUCACACUUUAGACAGGGGAUUCCCUUCUUUGGGCAGGUGCGCCUAGUAGAUGGGAAAGGCGUCCCUAUACCAAAUAAAGUCAUACUCAUCAGAGGAAAUGAAGCAAACUAUUACUCCAAUGCUACCACAGAUGAGCAUGGCCUUGUACAGUUCUCUAUCAACACCACCAACGUUAUGGGUACCUCUCUUACUGUUAGGGUCAAAUACAAGGAUCGUAGUCCCUGUUACGGCUACCAGUGGGUGUCAGAAGAACACGAAGAGGCACAUCACACUGCUUAUCUUGUGUUCUCCCCAAGCAAGAGCUUUGUCCACCUUGAGCCCGUAUCUCAUUGCCAGAGCUGCCUGGGGAAUACAGCAUGAAAGUGACAGGAGAAGGAUGUGUCUACCUCCAGACAUCCUUGAAAUACAAUAUUCUCCCAGAAAAGGAGGAGUUCCCAUUUGCUUUA